CCAUGAAUCAGAGCAUUCUCUACAUGAGCUGGGGGACCGCAAGAUAUCUCUAAACAGAAGAAACCAUCCAGAUGUUGGGCCAACUAGGUCAGAAGAUGCCCUGGAACCUGACCAGUCGAAAUUUGAGCAACUCUGUGGAUGAAGAUUUCAUGUCCUCUCUGACUGAGUCUCUGUUCCUCUGUUUGACUCUGUUGACGGUAAAAAGUUUCUUCAGAAACUUCACUGGAGCUUCGUUUACUGCAACUAGUGUCCAUUGCCUUUCCUUCUACCACUGUGCAACUCUGACAAGAGUCUGGCACUUCUUCCUUUACACCCUGUCAGUAUGUCACUUGUGGACAACUAUAAAGUCUCCCUUUUGCCUUCUCCUCCAAAUGAUUCUCUCACCUGCUCCUACUAUACGGCUGACUAUAAUAACUCCAUUUUAUGUCAGCUUUCCAACUAAAGGGAACUAUGCAGGAGACAGCUUGUUCUUUUACUGUCACAAAAAUACACUCAGAGAGCUUAAUGCUUUAGCUUGUAUUAGUAACUGCUCCUGUUGUUCCUCUGCAAAAACUUUUCCAUUACAAAGCAAACACACACGUUUACAGAGAGGCAAGGGAUUGCUCCAUCUUCCAUCUCUUGUGCACUCUGCUGCUGGUUCUCCUUCCAAGCUGUAUCCCCUCUCACAGGCAUAUGUUACUGUACUGCCAACUGUAUUGUUCUCAUACAUUGCUUUCCCAUUCAGCAAGGAAACUGGAAUUUUGCAUCUGGUCUCUGCAAAGGAAGGAGUCUUAUUAAUUCAGCUUGAUGUUAGUCCUGGACUUCCAACGAUUCCUGAAUUAAUAACACAAUAUGCUUAAAGUUGCCACAGACUUAUAAAUCUUGAAGAACAUAAACUCAGUAGCCCUGGGAAGGAAAUGUAGCCAACCUAGAGAAGAAGCUCCUCCCGGUGAUGGAGUAAAGCCCCAGCAAAAUAGGGAAACAAGGACACAUUUAUGACUUCAUACUGCAGUCAGUGGGGCAGAAAGAUGGAAAUCAUUCUUUCUUGCCACUGACAGAUUUUCCAGAAACCCCACAUUACAGAAUCAUUUCUCAAAAGCAACUCAGUCUCUGAAUCAUAUGAUAUGCAUGCAUAAGGGAGGAGCUAUUGCUUAUCCCAGAUCAGAAUGUUCCAGGACGUGAAACCAAACAGUUACCUUCACACAGUGGCAAGGGUUUACUCCAGCUCCCAUUGGCAAGACAUGUGAUGUUCUGGGGCCCAACAAGAUGGUAUCCAGAGUUGCACGCAAAGGUUACAUUACUUCUGUAUGUGCUUCCAGUAGAAAUGGCCUCUCCUUUUUCAAUAGAGGGAUGCAGCCCACAAGUAAUUUCUAGGAGAAAAGAAAAUGUUUGAGUUUUAUACACACAAUGAAGACUGUUCUUUUUAUGAGUCAUACACUAUCUGAUAGCUCUGUUCUCACCCUGAAUCAAUGGAAAGACAGCAAGAAAGAAGCUGUGAACUGUUACACGUUAUACAAUUCCUUCCCUGCCCUUUCUUCUGGUGUUCACACUGCAGACACCUGAAAAUGUGUCCAAAAGUAUUUGGUGUUGUUUUAAGAUAUGAGGUAUUUUCAAGCCAACAGAGGAUCCAGAAUAUUUCUUCUGUGCAGGCCUGAGGCUAUUUCAGUUUCCUUUGUGCCCCUACAGUGGAAGAUGAUCUCAAUACGUGCUCAAGAGCAAUGGCAGUAAUUAAGAAGAAUCCUGACCCCUGUCCCACACUGUGGACACCAAGUAAAUUCACCAAAGGUGAGAGAGAAGAAUGCAAGGCAUAGGACUAUGACUUCAGCAGGAGAAGAAGGAAAAUUAUUUAUUGUUAAGGACUAUAAAUAUUGGCAUUUUAUUUAUAAGCUGUAUGAAAUAAGUAAUAAAUGCUUCUUUUCAAGCUCCCUUAAUUAGUUAUCUUCUUGAUAGAGAGCCCAGAUUUGAUCCUUGGGGGCACAGUUGUGAUAUCCAGACAUACUGAGUGGCCAGGAUAUACUUGCUUUGGCAUGGCAGGGAUGAAUAUGAUAUCCAAGGCUCUGCACAGCACAAUUCAAGGCAAGUCAGAUACAGCAGGCCACAUUCCUACUCUACUGACCUGAACACGAUUCUAUGUUUGUGCCAUUUCAAUGUGCCAAAAUGAGCUUGCUUCAGAUCAGAGAGGUACUGCCAAUGAGAACUUCUCUGCUGGGCUUUUCCUCUGACUCCUCCUUUUACAGUCCCUCUGCUGGAGGGAAAAACAGGGAGGAAGCCAGAUAAAACUCUCCUUCUGCUCUAGCUUUCCUGGGCAACACAUGGCUCUGCUUGCUACUUACGCACGCACGUAGGGGCGGAAGGGCUCCACUUUUUGUCAACGUGGCAAAUCCUUCUGCUUGCCCCGUGUAGCUCAAAGCCAGGGUCACAGCUGUAAAAAACUUCACUGCCAAACAGGAACUCCUCUCCCUGAACAGAUCCAUUUUCUAUCACGUCUGGGGGUCCACAUGAUACUCC